ACUUGCUUUUUUCAAUGCAGAGAGGUCAUUAGCACAAGUCAUUUUAUACACAAGGAAUACGUAGUUGAGUUCAUAAAAUUAACAGCAACCUAAAUGCUUUCCAAAAGGGAACUAGGAUGUUAGAAACAGGAAAUUUGUUAGAAACUUAAGGUUUGGCCAAACACUAAUAUAACUCUUAGUUUCUCAAGUCAUUAAGGCAACAUUUCAAUCCAACAUAGGAUGUCCUAAAGCAAAUAAACAGACAUCAAUUGUUCCAAGUGGCUUCAUUCACCCAUCCCAGUAAAGCUUUAG
rnacentral:misc_RNA from 1 species